UACGGGGGGGGCAAGCGUUGUUCGGAAUUACUGGGCGUAAAGGGCUCGUAGGUGGCCAACUAAGUCAGACGUGAAAUCCCUCGGCUUAACCGGGGAACUGCGUCUGAUACUGGAUGGCUUGAGUUUGGGAGAGGGACGCGGAAUUCCAGGUGUAGCGGUGAAAUGCGUAGAUAUCUGGAGGAACACCGGUGGCGAAGGCGGCGUCCUGGACCAAUACUGACACUGAUGAGCGAAAGCCAGGGGAGCAAACGGG
rnacentral:rRNA from 1 species